rnacentral:rRNA from 1 species
UAGGGAAUCUUCCGCAAUGGGCGAAAGCCUGACGGAGCAACGCCGCGUGAGUGAUGAAGGUCUUCGGAUCGUAAAACUCUGUUAUUAGGGAAGAACAAAUGUGUAAGUAACUAUGCACGUCUUGACGGUACCUAAUCAGAAAGCCACGGCUAACUACGUGCCAGCAGCCGCGGUAAUACGUAGGUGGCAAGCGUUAUCCGGAAUUAUUGGGCGUAAAGCGCGCGUAGGCGGUUUUUUAAGUCUGAUGUGAAAGCCCACGGCUCGACCGUGGAGGGUCAUUGGAAACUGGAAAACUUGAGUGCAGAAGAGGAAAGUGGAAUUCCAUGUGUAGCGGUGAAAUGCGCAGAGAUAUGGAGGAACACCAGUGGCGAAGGCGACUUUCUGGUCUGUAACUGACGCUGAUGUGCGAAAGCGUGGGGAUCAAACAGG